GGAUGGGAGCCGUUAUGGCUCGAUAUCCGGUUGUCCAGGCCGUCGAGAAAAGCCUCGGCGUGAGGGCCAUGGCCGCCCGUACCCCAAACCGACACUGGUGGUCAGGUAGAGAAUACCAAGGCGAUCGAGCGAAUCCUGGUCAAGGAACUCGGCAAAUCACUCCCGUGCCUUCGGUAUAAGGGAGACCCGCUGGGGUGAAGGACCUUGCGUCCGGAGCUUUGGUGGGUGGCACAGACCAGGGGGUAGCGACUGUUUACCAAAAACACAGGUGCAUGCGAAGGCGAAAGCCGCUGUAUAUGCACUGACGCCUGCCCGGUGCCGGAUGGUUAAGAGGAUCCGUCAAUCCCUUCGGGGACGAAGCGGUGAAUUCAAGCCCCGGUAAACGGCGGUGGUAACAAUAACCAUCCUAAGGUAGCGAAAUUCCUUGUCGGGUAAGUUCCGACCUGCACGAAUGGCGUAACGACUUCCCCACUGUCUCGACCAGGAGCUCGGCGAAAUUGCAGUACGAGUAAAGAUGCUCGUUAAGCGCAGAAGGACGAAAAGACCCCGGGACCUUUACUAUACCUUGGUAUUGGCGUUAGGCGCGGAUUGUGUAGCAUAGGCGGGAGGCUUCGAAGCGGGUGCGCCAGCAUUCGUGGAGCCGCAAGGUGAAAUACCGCUCUGUUCUCGUUUGACGUCUAACCUCGACAAGUCAUCCUUGUCAGGGACAGUGCCUGGCGGGUAGUUCAACUGGGGCGGUUGCCUCCCAAAGAGUAACGGAGGCGCUCAAAGGUCCGCUCAGCCCGGUUGGCAAUCGGGUGUCGAGUGUAAUCGCACAAGCGGGCUUGACUGCGAGGACGACGGUCCGAGCAGGGACGAAAGUCGGAGAUAGUGAUCCGGUGCCGGCGCACGGGCGCGGCAUCGCUCAACGGAUAAAAGGUACCCCGGGGAUAACAGGCUGAUCAUUCCCAAGAGUCCAUAUCGACGGGAUGGUUUGGCACCUCGAUGUCGGCUCGUCGCAUCCUGGGGCUGGAGCAGGUCCCAAGGGUUCGGCUGUUCGCCGAUUAAAGCGGCACGCGAGCUGGGUUCAGAACGUCGUGAGACAGUUUGGUCUCUAUCCUCUGCGCUCGUUGGAAUCCUGAGGAGGCCUGCCCAUAGUACGAGAGGACCUGGGUGGACGAACCUCUGGUAUGCCGGUUGUCGCGCCAGCGGCACGGCCGGUUGGCUACGUUCGGGAGGGAUAACCGCUGAAAGCAUCUAAGCGGGAAGCCUGCUCCAAGAUUAGGAUUCCAUGGAUCUUCGAGAUCCUGUAGCCCGCAUGUUGAACACGUGUUUGAUAGGCCGGAGGUGGAAGCCCCGUGAGGGGUGGAGCCGACCGGUACUAACGGGCGACGGCGACAU
rnacentral:rRNA from 1 species